rnacentral:ncRNA from 2 species
ACAGUGGCCCCCGAUCCAGGUAGCCCAUUGUGGGCUUGAAAAGGGAACCCGGUGUCAAUCCGGGGCGGUCCCGCCGCUGUAACCGGGGACGAUCCCCCUGAAGGACCCACUGGCCGGAUGGAAUCGGCCGGGAAGGGAGGGGGUAGGACGAUCCGGGAGCCAGAAGACCUGCCUGGAGAUCUGAGCGAUC